GAAUCACACCAUACAGACCUCAUAUCGCUCCUUCGGACUUCUACCUUCCGCCCCCCCUUCAGCUACAUCUUGCUGGAGCUAUCUUCCAUUCUGCGCAGGACGUCCGAAAUGAGGCUGAUUUGUCUUUGGACUCGCGGCCCCCACGUUUCUGGGCCAAAGGCGUUUGGCAGAAAAUCAUAGAUUUGAGUGGUGAUUACUACCCGCACUAAAGGGACUCAAUCUCAAUUUUGUAUCUUAAACUGGACAUCUCCACCGUGAAGAAGCCGCCAAAUGAAGUUAGAAGAAAUACCUAUUUACCUUAAUUUACCCACAAAAGAUUCUCCACCUCGAGACAAGUCUGUCGGAUCCGUGGAAAUGAGGUUAUUGGUUAUGGCGAGGCACACUAAGGCUAUCUACCUAAGGGGGGAUGCCUUUGGAGAAAAAUGCGGAAGUCAACCAUCGCCUGAAUUCGAACCCAGGGAUUAACUUACCAGUAUACACAGCCCUUAACCGCUCAACUACUGAUGGGGGUCAUCUUUCUGUAUUGAAGACAUUUCUGUAAGCAAUGUAAAAGUACUUUGAGUAAGGUGUUUUAGUAAAAUAAAGGGAGUUUUAAUGAAUA